rnacentral:rRNA from 1 species
CCUACGGGUGGCAGCAGUGAGGCAUAUUGGUCAAUGGGCUUACGCCUGAACCAGCCAAGUCGCGUGAGGGAAGAAUGCCCUAUGGGUUGUAAAACUCUUUUGUCAGGGAGCAACGCCGGCUACGUGUAGACGGACUGAGAGUACCUGCAGAACAAGCAUCGGCUUACUCCGUGCCAGCAGCCGCGGUAAUACGGAGAAUGCGAGCGUUAUCCGGAUUUAUUGGGUUUCAAUGGUGUGUAGUCGGAAUGCCAAGUCAGCGGUAACAUCGCGGGGCUCAACCUCGCUCCGCCGGUGAAACUGGCGUUCUUAAGUGGGCGAGAAGUAUGCGGAAUGCGUGGUGUAGCGGUGAAAUGCAGAGAUAUCACGAAGAACGCAGAUUGAGAAGGCAGCAUACCGGCGCCCAACUGACGCUGAAGCACGAAAGCGUGGGUAUCGAACAGGAUUAGAUACCCUUGUAGUC